UACGGAGGGUGCGAGCGUUAAUCGGAAUUACUGGGCGUAAAGCACGCGUAGGCGGUUAUCUAAGCUAGACGUGAAAUCCCCGGGCUUAACCUGGGAAUUGCAUUUAGAACUGGAUAGCUAGAGUACAGAAGAGGGGUGUGGAAUUUCCGGUGUAGCGGUGAAAUGCGUAGAGAUCGGAAGGAACAUCAGUGGCGAAGGCGACACUCUGGUCUGAUACUGACGCUGAGGUGCGAAAGCGUGGGGAGCAAACAGG
rnacentral:misc_RNA from 1 species